rnacentral:lncRNA from 1 species
CGCUCGGGUCCCCUUCCACACUGUGGAAGCUUUGUUCUUUUGCUCUUUGUAAUAAAUCUUGCUACUGCUUACUUUUUGGGUCCACACUGGUUUUAUGAGCUGUAACACUCACCACGAAGGUCUGCAGGUUCACUCCUGAGCCAGCGAGACCACGAGCCCACCGGGAGGAACGAACAACUCCAGACGUGCUGCCUUAAGAGCUGUAACACUCACCGUGAAGGUCUGCAGCUUCACUCCUGAACCAGCGAGGCCACGAACCCACCAGAAGGAAGAAACUCCGAACACAUCUGAACAUCAGAAGGAACAAACUCCAGACGCGCCACCUUAAGAGCUGUAACAUUCACCGCAAGGGUCCGCGGCUUCAUUCUUGAAGUCAGUGAGACCAAAAACCCACCAGUUGCGGACACAGUUGUUGUCACAGCCCGGCCUGCCCCAACCUGCCUCAGAGGAAGCAUCGGAGACACUCCACCAGCUUCUCCCAUGGCUUCCCUCAUCCUGGGGCCAAGGCAGCAUCUGGUACAGAGCUGAGGCAGGGGAGAGAUAUCCUUGGAGCCAACAUCCAUGUGUUUAACCUGGAUCCUCUGUGCCUGAGCAACUCAGGCUUCUUCCAUGUGGCAGGGGCGGGGUGAGGCCACAGACAGCUCCAGCUCACAUCAACCCAGCUAAUGGCUUCACAGGAAAGAGGGAAGCAAAAUCCCAGAGAAGUCUGAUUGGCCCGGCCUGGAUCUCAUGGCUGUGGGCAAUGGAAAAGCUGAGGGAACUGGAGAACAGCUGCUGUCCUCUCCCUGCGCACAUCUGUUCUGCCUCAUGCCAAAGGGAGACAAUGGCUAAAGGGGGCCUGUACUGGUCAGGCCCUGCAGAGAAACAGAACACACAGGUUGUGUAUGCAUGUAUAGGUAGGUAGGGAGACAGAGAGUGGGGAGAGAGAGAGGUUCGAGAAAUUGGCUCAUGUGAUUACAGAGGCUGGCAAGUCCAAAAUUUGCAGGGUGGGUGAUACGGUUUGGCUGUGUCCCCCCACCAAAUCUCAUCUUGAAUUGUAGCUCCUGUAAUUCCCACAUGUCAUGGGAGGGACCCCAUGGGAGGUAAUUGACUCAUGGGGCUGAGUCUUUCCCAUGCUGUUCUCAUGAUAGUGAAUAAGUCUCAGGAGAUCUGAUGGUUUUAUAAAAGGGAGUUCCCUGCCCAAGCUCCCUCUUGCCUGCUGCCAUGGAAGACGUGCCUUUGCUCCUUUGCCUUCCACCGUGAUUGUGAGGCCUCCCCAGCCUCGUGGAACUGUCAGUCCAUUAAACCUCUUUUUCUUUAUAAAUGACCCAGUCUCAGGUAUGUUUUUAUUAGUAGUGUGAGAACAGACGAAUACAGUGGGCCAGCAGGUUGGAGACCCAGAGAAGAGCCGAUGCUGCAGCUCGAGUCCCAAGGUUUCUGCUGCAGAAUUACCCCUUCCUCAAGGGAGGUCAGGUUUUGUCUUAUUCAGGGCUUCAACUGAUUGGAUGAGGCCCACCCACAUUAUGGCGGGCCACCUGCUUUCCUCAAAGUCCACUGAUUUGAAUGUUAAGCUCAUCCAAGAACACCUCACAAAAAGAUCCAGAAUAAGGUUUGGCCACAUAUCUGGGCACCAUGGCCCAGUCAGGCUGACACAUCAAAUUAACCAUCACUGGGUCCCCAGAUGCAUCUUGUUCGACCUCCUCAUGCAGAGAUAAAGAAGCAGAGGUCCAGAGAGGCCCAAUGGUCUGUCCAAGGUCACAGGGCAAUGUAGCAGCAGAGCCUCACUGCCUCCAUCCUGACUCCCAGGCCAGGGGUCUCUGGACAGUCCCCUUUCUCCUGUAUGGCUCAUGGAAACCCAGGGACCAGAGGAGACAGACCAGAACAGGAGCCACAGGCGACAGGCCUGAGUCAUUGGCCUGAGAGAACAAAUUCAGCUGCAUCUGUUUGGAAGGACCCCAGAAGGCACUGGUUCUUUGGGUGGAUCACCUGCCCCCUGCCCUCUCCUGACGCUGGCCCUGAGACUGCAAGGGCCACCAGGGCAGGAAGCCCUUUCUUCGACCUGAUCCGGGUUCUCCACGGUGUCGACGCACCACUGCCCACGUGGGUGUCGCUUUCAGGUGGUGCACGUGUGGACAUUUUUUAAUAGUCAUGUAUUCAUUUUUAUGUUGCUCUGAAUUUAUGACUGGGGAUGCUGGUUUCCUA